GAUGAACGCUGGCGGCGUGCCUAAUACAUGCAAGUCGAGCGAACAGACGAGGAGCUUGCUCCUCUGACGUUAGCGGCGGACGGGUGAGUAACACGUGGAUAACCUACCUAUAAGACUGGGAUAACUUCGGGAAACCGGAGCUAAUACCGGAUAAUAUAUUGAACCGCAUGGUUCAAUAGUGAAAGACGGUUUUGCUGUCACUUAUAGAUGGAUCCGCGCCGCAUUAGCUAGUUGGUAAGGUAACGGCUUACCAAGGCAACGAUGCGUAGCCGACCUGAGAGGGUGAACGGCCACACUGGAACUGGGACACGGUCCAGACCCCUAAGGGGAGCAGCAGGAAGGAAUCUUCCGCAAUGGGCGAAAGCCUGACGGAGCAACGCCGCGUGAGUGAUGAAGGUCUUCGGAUCGUAAAACUCUGUUAUUAGGGAAGAACAAAUGUGUAAGUAACUAUGCACGUCUUGACGGUACCUAAUCAGAAAGCCACGGCUAACUACGUG
rnacentral:rRNA from 1 species